AGCAGCUUGCUGCUUCGCUGACGAGUGGCGGACGGGUGAGUAAUGUCUGGGAAACUGCCUGAUGGAGGGGGAUAACUACUGGAAACGGUGGCUAAUACCGCAUAACGUCGCAAGACCAAAGAGGGGGACCUUCGGGCCUCUUGCCAUCAGAUGUGCCCAGAUGGGAUUAGCUUGUUGGUGAGGUAACGGCUCACCAAGGCGACGAUCCCUAGCUGGUCUGAGAGGAUGACCAGCCACACUGGAACUGAGACACGGUCCAGACUCCUACGGGAGGCAGCAGUGGGGAAUAUUGCACAAUGGGCGCAAGCCUGAUGCAGCCAUGCCGCGUGUAUGAAGAAGGCCUUCGGGUUGUAAAGUACUUUCAGCGGGGAGGAAGGUGUUGUGGUUAAUAACCGCAGCAAUUGACGUUACCCGCAGAAGAAGCACCGGCUAACUCCGUGCCAGCAGCCGCGGUAUUACGGAGGGUGCAAGCGUUAAUCGGAAUUACUGGGCGUAAAGCGCACGCAGGCGGUCUGUCAAGUCGGAUGUGAAAUCCCCGGGCUCAACCUGGGAACUGCAUUCGAAACUGGCAGGCUUGAGUCUUGUAGAGGGGGGUAGAAUUCCAGGUGUAGCGGUGAAAUGCGUAGAGAUCUGGAGGAAUACCGGUGGCGAAGGCGGCCCCCUGGACAAAGACUGACGCUCAGGUGCGAAAGCGUGGGGAGCAAACAGGAUUAGAUACCCUGGUAGUCCACGCCGUAAACGAUGUCUAC
rnacentral:rRNA from 1 species